UCGCGAACCAGGAAGGAGAAAGGGGAAAAAACCCCUUAGCAUCACAAAUCACCAAAUUGAAGCCCCAAUUGUGAUCUUAAGAUCGUGCAUGUACUAAUAUUGGAUCAUCUACACAUUAUUAAACACAAGGAAUUAAGGAGGAAAGCACAAGCCGUUCCGAGUCUCAAACGAAGAACGAUAAAGGAAUUAAGGAGGAAAGCACAAGCCGUUCCGAGUCUCAAACGAAGAACGAUAAAGGUAAGUUAUAGCUUACAUAUGAUCAUUAUAAUGUAAUGUUGUAGUAUACUAUUGUUUAAUGAUUGAAGUUGUAUUAUGUAACAAGUUAUGGUAAGCCGUUAUGUAAUCAAGGUAUGGGUUGAAUGAGC